GGAGUCUGGGCCGUGUCUCAGUCCCAAUGUGGCCGUUCAACCUCUCAGUCCGGCUACCGAUCGCGGUCUUGGUGAGCCGUUACCUCACCAACUAACUAAUCGGACGCGAGUCCAUCUCCGAGCGAUAAAUCUUUGAUAGCAGAGCCAUGCGACUCCGCUAUGUUAUGCGGUAUUAGCGUUCUUUUCAGAACGUUAUUCCCCUCUCAGAGGCAGGUUACUCACGCGUUACUCACCCGUCCGCCACUAAACUGAAACUCUUUCAUCCGAAGAAUCAAUCAUAACAGUUCCGUUCGACUUGCAUGUGUUAGGCACGCCGCCAGCGUUCGUCCUCGAGCCAUGAUCAAACUACU
rnacentral:rRNA from 1 species